AUCUAGCUGAUGAGCUCCAAACAGGACAAAACGCGCGUCCUGGAU
rnacentral:hammerhead_ribozyme from 1 species